rnacentral:rRNA from 1 species
GACGAACGCUGGCGGCGUGCCUAAUACAUGCAAGUCGAACGCAGUGGGGACGGGUGCGUAACACGUGGCUAACCUCCCAUCAGAGGGGAUAACACUUGGAAACAGGUGCAACACCGAUACUGCUGGAUUGACACGGGUUGCCUUAGCUAGUUGGUGAGGUAACGGCUCACCAAGGCCACGAUGCAUAGCCGAGCUGAGAGGGUGAACUGACAAACUGGGACUGAUACACGGCCCAGACUCCUAAGGGAGGCAGCAGUAGGGAAUCUUCGGCAAUGGACGAAAGUCUGAGCGAGCAACGCAGCGUGAGUGAAGAAGGUUUUCGGAGCGGAAAACUCUGGUGGUAGAGAAGCGGUAUCUAACCAGAAAGCAACGGCUAACUACGUGCCAGCAGCCGCGGUAAUAC